AGUAAACUGUUCCUGUUUCUCCAUCUUGACAGGAAGCAGAAGUUCUCCUUAGCUGAUUUUUCUUCUUGCCUUAUACUGGGUUCUUUAACACCAGAACAAAAAUAAAUAAAUAAAAGAAUCUUCCAGAAAUUCAUGAAGAGACUUCAGGUCAGGAAAGCCUGAACUUUCUCAUCCAACACCCGUUCAAGUCGGAGGAUGCUGAUUAAUUCAUGAUGGAAAGGUAUCAAUUUCACAGCCCAGACCUCUACAUUCUUGAAAUGCUCUUCUCAUGGGAGACAUUAAAUAAGCUUUGAAUUAACUAAUAUGGACAUCUUGGGUUGUUGUGAGAAUGGAGUUACCAAAGUUAUAAUCAGUUAAACACUAAGCAAAGUGUUAUGGCAAAGUGUAGUCAAGUGCAUUUCCUGUCAGAUGGUCAACACCUUAAGUGCUUGAGGUUGAAGAGAAUUGUUUUCAUCUCUGUUGAUAGGAAGAACCAAUGAUGUGAUCCCUGGAUACUGGCAAUUGUUGCCCAAGAAAACCUCUCCCCUUGCUGUGGGACUGCUGGGCACCCAAAUAAUGCACCCAAAUAAUUUGAUAGCUCUUGUUACACAGCUCUUCUUGGACUAAAAGGCCCUCAGCAUUCCUGUCAAUUUCUACACUCCUGAAGCUUCAUCUGGAGACCUCUGUGGAUUCUAUAACUCAAAGACCCAGGCUGACGGCUGGUGGAAUAGCUACCAUCUCAAACAUGGCGUGAUGCUGCAUCAGAGAGAAAAAUAAGCUCUUGCAUUGACAAUGAAAUGUCUACCCUGUAGUGACUUGUGCUUACUU
rnacentral:lncRNA from 10 species